GGGCCCGUAGCUCAGUCGGUAGAGCAUUGGCCUUUUAAGCCAAGGGUCCUGGGUUCGACCCCCAGCGGGCUCG
rnacentral:tRNA from 1 species